rnacentral:rRNA from 1 species
GUUGUUGGGUAGGGGAGCGUUCUGUAAGCCGUUGAAGGUGGCCUGUGAGGGUUGCUGGAGGUAUCAGAAGUGCGAAUGCUGACAUAAGUAACGAUAAAGCGGGUGAAAAGCCCGCUCGCCGGAAGACCAAGGGUUCCUGUCCAACGUUAAUCGGGGCAGGGUGAGUCGACCCCUAAGGCGAGGCCGAAAGGCGUAGUCGAUGGGAAACAGGUUAAUAUUCCUGUACUUGGUGUUACUGCGAAGGGGGGACGGAGAAGGCUAUGUUAGCCGGGCGACGGUUGUCCCGGUUUAAGCAUGUAGGCGGAGGUUCCAGGUAAAUCCGGUACCUUUUAACGCUGAGGUGUGAUGACGAGGCACUACGGUGCUGAAGUAACAAAUGCCCUGCUUCCAGGAAAAGCCUCUAAGCAUCAGGUAACACGAAAUCGUACCCCAAACCGACACAGGUGGUCAGGUAGAGAAUACCAAGGCGCUUGAGAGAACUCGGGUGAAGGAACUAGGCAAAAUGGUGCCGUAACUUCGGGAGAAGGCACGCUGAUAUGUAGGUGAAGCCCCUGCGGGUGGAGCUGAAAUCAGUCGAAGAUACCAGCUGGCUGCAACUGUUUAUUAAAAACACAGCACUGUGCAAACACGAAAGUGGACGUAUACGGUGUGACGCCUGCCCGGUGCCGGAAGGUUAAUUGAUGGGGUUAGCGGCAACGCGAAGCUCUUGAUCGAAGCCCCGGUAAACGGCGGCCGUAACUAUAACGGUCCUAAGGUAGCGAAAUUCCUUGUCGGGUAAGUUCCGACCUGCACGAAUGGCGUAAUGAUGGCCAGGCUGUCUCCACCCGAGACUCAGUGAAAUUGAACUCGCUGUGAAGAUGCAGUGUACCCGCGGCAAGACGGAAAGACCCCGUGAACCUUUACUAUAGCUUGACACUGAACACUGGUCCUUGAUGUGUAGGAUAGGUGGGAGGCUUUGAAGCGUGGACGCCAGUCUGCGUGGAGCCGACCUUGAAAUACCACCCUUUAAUGGCUGGUGUUCUAACGUAGACCCGUAAUCCGGGUUGCGGACAGUGUCUGGUGGGUAGUUUGACUGGGGCGGUCUCCUCCCAAAGAGUAACGGAGGAGCACGAAGGUUAGCUAAUCCUGGUCGGACAUCAGGAGGUUAGUGCAAUGGCAUAAGCUAGCUUGACUGCGAGAGUGACGGCUCGAGCAGGUGCGAAAGCAGGUCAUAGUGAUCCGGUGGUUCUGAAUGGAAGGGCCAUCGCUCAACGGAUAAAAGGUACUCCGGGGAUAACAGGCUGAUACCGCCCAAGAGUUCAUAUCGACGGCGGUGUUUGGCACCUCGAUGUCGGCUCAUCACAUCCUGGGGCUGAAGUAGGUCCCAAGGGUAUGGCUGUUCGCCAUUUAAAGUGGUACGCGAGCUGGGUUUAGAACGUCGUGAGACAGUUCGGUCCCUAUCUGCCGUGGGCGCUGGAGAAUUGAGGGGGGCUGCUCCUAGUACGAGAGGACCGGAGUGGACGCAUCACUGGUGUUCGGGUUGUCAUGCCAAUGGCACUGCCCGGUAGCUAAAUGCGGAAGAGAUAAGUGCUGAAAGCAUCUAAGCACGAAACUUGCCCCGAGAUGAGUUCUCCCUGAGACU